rnacentral:rRNA from 1 species
GAAGCUGGAAUUGCUGUAAUGGCAGGUCAGCAUACUGCCGUGAAUACGUUCCCGGGCCUUGUACACACCGCCCGUCACACCAUGAGAGUUGGGAAUACCCGAAGCCUGUGAGCUAACUUAUAGAGGCAGCAGUCGAAGGUAGAAUCAAUGAUUGGGGUGAAGUCGUAACAAGGUACC